rnacentral:lncRNA from 1 species
GUGCGAGGCUAAUAGAGUGAUCAGAACCAGGAAUGUGAGCUGGGUUCCACCUUAGGAGGGGACAAUGAGGACAGAGCAAGAGGGCUCCAUGUUUAAUUACUCCAGGCUCUGACUUCUGCCCACAAUUACAGAGCAUGAAAGCAGAAUUGGCCUUUAGUAAGUGAAAAGGAAGUGGCUCCUGCAGCAUAUAAUUGUUAUAAUUUCGUAUUUAUGGAAAGAGAAAAGGACUUCAGUCCACUCAUGUUGUUAAGCACUUGUCCCUCACUCCACUGGAGCCCCCUUCCUAUGUUUUGGGCACAGAUGGCUGGGACCGAGAGGAAAGAGGAAGAGCGGCUGCCAGAGUGUGAAUAUACCCCUCAGGGAUAUACAGCGGAGUUUCAUGAUAAACUACCCAUACUUUCCCAAAAAAGGUUGAGGAGCAAUACAUAACUUUGCAGAUUACAAACCCUUGUUUUACUUUUUAAACCUUUUUUCCAUACUCUGCUUAUUGGAAAUCGAUGGCUGUGAUGUGACCAACACCUGUGAUGAUAGCAAAGCCCCUCCUUUCACAGUCUCCUGACUGUUCGGGGAACCUCCUUGGUCAUUGGUAGAAAGCUUUAGAAAAGACUUAGCUUUUUAGGGAAGAACUAAAAAAUCUCCAAAACAUACUAGUCCCAUGACUUCGAUAACUGAAAAUGUCCUGGGUGUAAACUAACCCAGGAAUGUGGAUCAUACAUGUUUUUUUUAAAAAAAAUCCCUGAAUCAAUAUUUUCCUACAACACACCCUAAAAUUCCUAUUUUUGUAAUUAAUGGUUGGACAGUGAUCAGCCAUUUAAACAUAGGCUUUCUGGAAUAACCAGACACUAGAAUAGUUUCCAAAGUGUUUUGCGUAUCAAAAUCCUAUAUACUUAGAAGAAGAACUCAGGAUAAGAAAAAAUCGCUAGGUCCCAAAGGGUUCAUGACUAUCAUCAGAUGCAACUGCGAGUGGCCUACGGUCAUUUUUUCAAAUGAGAAGACUGGAGAGAGAGAACAACAGUAAUCACAAAACCUCUGUUGCCCUUAGUCCAUGACAAUGUUUAAGGAAACUUUAAAAAAUUAAGCCAUCUUCUGAAUUGUUUUCUACACCAAAUCUAAAAUAUUAAAAUGAAAUUAUUAAAUAUUUAAAAUGGGGUAUUUAGUGGAAAUGCAAUCAGUAGAAAACAUUGCUUUUUAGUGCCUGCUAAACAAGUAAAGGAGAAAGAAUGAAGAGAAAACAGCAGUCCUUCCUGUGUGACACUCGUGUGGAAAUGACAGGCAUUCACAUGUCAUUGAGUGCUAACUCAAAAGCUAGGUGGCAAUGCUGUCCAAUGUUUAGAGAUCUUUUGAAAUAUAAUUUUACCACCAUUCAGAGGUAAGUACUUGCUUAACAGAAGUCUUUAAUGUUAGUGAAUGAAUGUAUAAAAUUAUAAACUAUGCAUUUUCAAAGAGUAGCAUGUAUUUUGUAUCGAAUCCAAGUAAAUUUUUUUCAUAGCUACCUACCACAACUGCAAAUUAUUCAAAAUAAACUUGGAUACAUAUCCUUAUGGGGAUAUGGGAAGCCCAUCUAUAUUCUCCUACUUGAUGUUUUUAAAGAUUGAAACUUUAUUCUGAAACAUCAGGCUCUAAAAAAUUCCAUCAUUAAGAUGAAUAAAUGGGAAAUGGUUUAUUUGUUACUUCGUAAGCAUAAAUGGGAAAUGUUGGCUGUUAGAAAAUGUGCCCAGUUCUUUAAAGGUGGAUGUUCUAGUAACACUGGAUUAACAAGCAAACAAAACUGCAUGAAGUGAACGAAUAUUUCAUUGGAUAAAGUUAGCAUAGGUUUUAUCUGCUGGGUUUAAUUCUCAAUCCCAGAAAAAAAUAUUCUUCAAGGGGUAUCAGUUAUAGUUUCAAAGAACAAAAUAUGAAAAUAUUGUCCAGCAAAGCAAAUCAUUGAUCUUUUUUCAAAAUUACUUAUAUUUUGGAAAGUCUAUAUAGAAUAUCCACAAAUUUCUUCAGCCCUCUUGUUGAUUUCAUAUUUUCAUGAAACUUUUUCCCCUAAUAAUUUGUCUUCGCUCUUUAAUCAGUGCUUUACUACAUUACUCAGCCUGAAAAAAUAUCUUUUCCUUCAUCUGACAAUGUGGAAAUAAAGAACUCCAUUUCUGUCAUUCUGGUUCUCUUCAGUGUCCAUUGAGAAAGUUUCUCAACUGUUUGUAAAAUACGGGGGGAAAAAAACACGCAUUUCUAAACCUGGUACUUAAGGUUAUACUGGAUUGUUUGCUACCUAAUUAGAAGUUAUUGGGGAAGGGGCAUUGUGUCUUUUUAUAUGAUUUUUAGCCAAAUCCAGAUGUUCUGAUACACAUUUCUGAAUACCUGUCUGACUGUAAAUACAGCCUGUGGAGGUUCAGGUUGAUAAACCUUUCACCUGACUGCUCCACAGCCAUGCUCCUUGCCAGCUUCUGGCACAUUGUACAUAGAUUUGUUGAAUGUUUAAAUGAUGUUGUUUUUCUAAAUGCUGUUCUCUAAAACAAUUUUUUGAAUUUCUUUUGCUUUCCAUUGUUUUGGACUUUGUGUGUUCGUUUUUUAAAAAAAAAAAUGUUUCCUAAAUAUUUAACACCAGGAAAAAUAUUUUUAAAUACACUGGUGCUAAUUGAAACAGAAGGAAAUUUUCAGAUCGAAGAUGUACAAUGUUAAAUGUUCAUACCAGUUAAACUGCACUUUCCCAAGGGGACAGCUGGCAUCUACUUGAAAUGGGCAUCAAGAGACCACCAAAUGUUUACAGUUUCUGUGGCCCGUUUAAGUGUAAAAUGCAGAAGUGGCUCUGUCCCCCCAGAGUUAAGGAUUUGCUACACUGGUCCUCUGGAAGCAUUUAAGUAGAAGAAAAGGCUUAUAGUCAGAAUCACUUUAGUAAUCGUCUUCUGGUCCUUGGACUUUUCUGUUCUGUAAUGCUUGUAACAAUGAAUAUGGUGUUGCCAAUCUAGUCUGAUAUCAUUGUUGACCUGUACUUACUUUGUGGAUGGUUCUACCUGGGGUUGCACUGGCACAAACAGAGCCAGAACACUGGACUUUCAAAAGACCAUUUUGACUUCUACAGUGUCCACACACAUGAAUUUAAAUGCACUUGUAACUGGUUAAUUACCAUGAAGUAAGUCUAACUUCCACUUAAUAAAAGUUUUUGUGUAUCUG